AGCGGCGAACGGGUGAGUAACACGCAGGUGAUCUGCCCAUCAGACGGGGACAACGAUUGGAAACGAUCGCUAAUACCGGAUAGGACGAAAGUUUAAAGGUGCUUCUGGCACCGCUGAUGGAUGAGCCUGCGGCGCAUUAGCUAGUUGGUAGGGUAAAGGCCUACCAAGGCGACGAUGCGUAGCCGACCUGAGAGGGUGAACGGCCACACUGGGACUGAGACACGGCCCAGACUCCUACGGGAGGCAGCAGUAGGGAAUCUUCGGCAAUGGGCGAAAGCCUGACCGAGCAACGCCGCGUGAAUGAUGAAGGCCUUCGGGUUGUAAAAUUCUGUUAUAAGGGAAGAACGACUUUAGUAGGAAAUGGCUAGAGUGUGACGGUACCUUAUGAGAAAGCCACGGCUAACUACGUGCCAGCAGCCGCGGUAAUACGUAGGUGGCGAGCGUUAUCCGGAAUUAUUGGGCGUAAAGAGCGCGCAGGUGGUUGAUUAAGUCUGAUGUGAAAGCCCACGGCUUAACCGUGGAGGGUCAUUGGAAACUGGUCGACUUGAGUGCAGAAGAGGGAAGUGGAAUUCCAUGUGUAGCGGUGAAAUGCGUAGAGAUAUGGAGGAACACCAGUGGCGAAGGCGGCUUCCUGGUCUGUAACUGACGCUGAGGCGCGAAAGCGUGGGGAGCAAACAGGAUUAGAUACCCUGGUAGUCCACGCCGUAAACGAUGAGUGCUAAGUGU
rnacentral:rRNA from 1 species